rnacentral:pre_miRNA from 1 species
AGGGCUCUUCCGGAGGGCCCCCCCCAAUCCUGUUGUGCCUGAUUCAGAGGGUUGGGUGGAGGCUUUCCUGAAGGGCUC